rnacentral:rRNA from 1 species
CCAAUAGCGUAUAUUAAAGUUGCUGCAGUUAAAAAGCUCGUAGUUGAAUUUCGGGAUCAGUUCGCUGGUCGUGCCUCUGGUAUGUACUGGUGUUACUGGUUCCUCCCUUCUGACGAACUGUCAUGUCAUUUAUUUGGUGUGGCAGGGAAUCAGGACUGUUACUUUGAAAAAAUUAGAGUGUUUAAAGCAGGCUCGCGCUUGAAUACAUUAGCAUGGAAUAAUGAAAUAGGACGUUCGAUCCUAUUUUGUUGGUUUCUAGGAUUGACGUAAUGAUUGAUAGGGAUAGUUGGGGGCAUUAGUAUUCAAUUGUCAGAGGUGAAAUUCUUGGAUUUAUUGAAGACUAACUACUGCGAAAGCAUUUGCCAAGGAUGUUUUCAUUAAUCAAGAACGAAAGUUAGGGGAUCGAAGACGAUCAGAUACCGUCGUAGUCUUAACCAUAAACUAUGCCGACUAGGGAUCGGAUGAUGUUAUUUUUAAUGACUCAUUCGGCGCCUUACG